CGCAGGACGAAAGGUGGUGUUUGCAGCUGUCGGGGCACCGGGUCGGAAGGACUGAAUCGCCCUGCAUGAAUCGACGGUGCGCGUCCCGUCGCCGGCGCCUGCCGACGCCACACCUCCGCUCCCAACCUGGUCCAGAAGCGCCCUGCCCUGAUUGAACAGCCACAUCUCUGGCGAGUCCAAGCCUACGACCGAAUCGGCCACGGCCGGACCGGCGGCGCCCAAAACAUACGCCACCUCGCACACUACUCAAUCCAGGGGCGGAGCCAGAAAUUUUGUGAAGCGGGUUCACCGUCGCGCACGUUUUACAAAAAAGUCCCUAGGUUUUGGCGUAUCUAACCCGCAGUCCACCGAGUAAAAAACGAUUCGCCAGGUAAUUCACCCCCAAUUUUCCCCUCUGCGCCGCCGCCCCCAAUUUCCCCUCUGCGCCGCCACGCGCCAGAGAUGACCGCGCCCGACCACCCGAUUCCGCGCCUCUCGCCGCCGACGAGGGCCACGCCGGCGAUCUCCCCUCAGCCCGCCUGCCUCCUCUUUCCUCUCUGUUCUCCUCCUCUCUCCGCCCCCUGUUCAGCAGCGACCGCCCAAACUCGCCCCGAUCCAUGGCCAUCUCCUUCCGCCCAGCUCCGGUCCGUCACCGGUCGUCCGUGGCACGAGCGCUGCGCCUCCUCUUCAACCUCCUCAUUCCGCUCCACUCCUCCUGGACUGCCCACGUGCGCCUCCCGAGCCCCCAUGGACGCCUUCUGCGGAGCUGAGGUAUCGACGGUUGACCGCCGCCAUGACCGGCCUCGUGCGCAGCUCCCUGUCGCCAUCCCCUGCGCCUCCUCCCGCGUCUCCCCCAUCUCGCCUAUGCAGCACCGUGGCUGCACGUCGCCAGCGCCGUCUGCUGCAGACCCGCUCUCAACCCCCUGCGGUUCUUAUUGGUCUCUUCUUUGGAUGAGCUUUCUGAACACAGUCUGAAGCUUCCAAGAAGAAAAUUCCAUACUCUACUACUGACUUGCUUUCCGGUGUUCUGGUGAGAGAAAAUUUAGAAGCCAAGUUGUGCUAUAGGACAUAGGUAAACCUGCUUAUCUCAUUUAACUUAUGUUCUUGGAAACUAUCCUAAUAUCCUCCUGAUGCUUCCUAUUAUGUUUACACAUACCACUCUAUGGCAACGUGAAGAUAUACUAUGCCAAGGAGCUAAAAAAGGCGCUUGUUUUAUGAGUGCUCAGGCUCUGGUCUGACUUGUGCGGGCAAAGUUGAAAAAUGGUCGUAUGAGCCGAGUCACAAGGAACAAAGGAGUUCUUCAGUGAACUGAGGGAGCAUUUGACAUGUAUCGUGUAUGUGUACACGCACAUUUAGAUGGAAUGUGCUUAUGUUCCAGGGAAACAUUGUUUGUGCUUUAUUCGAUAUCAAAGAAAUAUUGGCAGGAUCCUACGCUUCCAUCAUUAGGGUUAAGCCAUAUUUACUGAAAUUUUUCUAGAGCUAUUCCCAUAGCCCAAACAAUGAAUUCUAGAAGCUAUGUAUUUUAGGCAAGAUCCGUCAGCGGCGAGGUACCCGAGUCUGAAGCAAUGCAGCAAACGUCCAAGUGAUUCUCCUGACCACGGCGGGGUACCCAGGUCCAAUGUGAUUAAGUGGUAGACACGGCAGUAGCAGAGUUGAUCAGCUCCAAGCAGCUUUGCAAUCGUAUACAUAUGUUCUCACCACAAUUAACUACACGUAGGCUCUGUCUCCCUCCUCUCCUGAGAAUUUGACAAAUGUUGUUAUCAAGGCAUUUUGUUCUUCUAAUCGAUUCUAGAUUAGAUAAACAUGUACUAUGUGUUUCAUAUGAACUGUUAAGAACCCAACAACACAUGGUUAUUUCAUCAAUCUUAUCAUCUUUUAGUUAAUGGAAUUAUCUAUUGAUUGUAGUAUUAAGUUUGCUUGUGUUUUCAGCUAAAAGAAAGGAAAAAAAGGAACAACAUACAUUUCUGCAUUGCUUCAUCCUUGCGGCUGAGAGAGGCAUGCGUUCUCCUGUGAAGAGUGCAUAAAUUGUUUUUAUUCGCUUGAUAUUUAUUUAUGCCAGCUAAUUUGCAGGUCUUACAAUUAAUACUAAUCUUUAGGCACAGGACCAGGACCACAUGGAUUGCAUCAUCUGGUUUAUGAAAUACUGAAUAAUGUUGUUGGUGAAGCUCAAGCAGGCUAUGCUACUGAGAUUAAUGCAGUCCUUCAUGAUGACAAUUCAGUUAGUGUAACUGACAACGGCCGUGGGGUAUGCAGUUCCUAAAACCUAUGAAAGACUUCCUGAAUGUUCAAUGCUUCUACAAAUAUUGUGGAAAAAGUAAUUGUUAUGUGUUCAGUUUUGUGCUGCUGCACGGUGUUUCAACACCCUGAACAUGGCGAUUUCGGGGCCUAUAGGAUGGUAGAUGCCUGGGCCCAUGGCUGCGAGCUCGGCCAUAUAGGCCCUUGAAAACUGACGGCGACACCUCUCUUCGGGCAGAAUGUUAUGCACAAGCACAAUGCCGCGACAAUUUUCAGAGUCAUAGACCCGCUGGGAAUUAGUGUUUGUGUUUUUGUUUUUAUGACGUCUGAACUUUAGCAGACAAUGUUCACUCACACAUGGCACAUGUGCUAAACCAGCCGGCUGUUCGUUGGAAAGUUAUACGAAAUCCGAAGCAAUCCAGCCUUCAAGUGUAUCACCCAUUAUAUCUCUACUCUGUUCUUCUUUGCUCUGCUUUUCAGGAAGAAGGUGGAUUGGUGGCCAUUUCCUGUAUGCAGAGGGGAUGGCAACGACUGUUCCUUGGUUGAAGGAUGCAAUGCAUCUCGCUGAAUUUCAAGCUGUACGUCAGUUAAGAAAGGAGGCUGCAAGUUAUAUAUAGUGAUCUGUAUUGCUUACAUCUAAUAUACAAUCUAUACAUGUUGGUUUCGAAUUAUGUGCUCAUGGUUGUACAAUCGUCUUUCAACUGAAUUACAGCCAAAGUGUUCAUCUUGGCUACUUCUGAACUUCUGCACAAAUUAAAUGGUGGAGUAUGGCCACUACCACCUACAUGGUAAAAUGUGGUAGCCUUAAAUUGUCUUAGGUUUAGUCUCUUCUGUUUUCUUGUGUUCUACAUAAGUCUAUGAGCCUUAUGUCUCAAUAAAAUAAAAUGUGCGAGAAUAGGACUGAAAAUCAAAGCUAUUCAUCAUUUCGUGUGGGAUGUGAGUCUGGUUGAAACUUGAGUAUACCAACUGGAAUUUUGCUGUUCGACAAUUGGAAAAAUAGCCUACUCGAGGGUGUUUGGCCUUUUGCGCAUCACCAGCCAGUCGCGGCGCUCACACAAGCAUCAUAUUUUGGUCUGGCAUCAAAAGUCCAAGCAUACAAGUGUUACAAUUAUUUAUAGCAAUAUGAAAUAUACUUACCAUUAUAUGCACAGAUAAUCACUCUUCUUUUACGUUAUUAAACAAGAAAUUCAGGCAUUUGCCAUCAACUACAAAUUAAGAAAAAUGAAUAAAGGUCUAAUUUGCCUCCAUUCAGUCUUAUCUGGUCCAGUUUGGCAAUGUAUUAGAUAUUGUUCUACUGGUCAUGAAACAAACCAUGUAUAGAGCUAGGUCCAGGCGAGGUGGAGGAUUCAUUAGUAUAAGUCAGGAAAUGCCCAUCAAAGAAAUGGAAGCUGCUUGGCCAAAGAGGUUUCAGGGUGGUGCCUUAGAGCAUCAAGCGGUGAUAAUGUCGUCACGUCUUAGAAUUUCCAAAUGGUCUUCUAAAAAUUCUUAUCUCAUCCUGGACUAUUUUCACCAAUGAAUCUCAAGCACGACCUCAUCAUCAAUGCGGCAGGUAUGUGGUUAGCAGAAAAAAAAAACCUAAAAGUGCCUUCCUUCAGGCCAUGACCCCUGCAUGUUGCACGUCCCUUAUCCAGAUAUAAGUUAGUUGGGAGAACAUGAGAGUUCUCAGAGUUCAGCGAUUCAUGACCGUCGGAUCGGAUUUUUGAUGCGUUCUGGACCGUUGGAUGUCGCUCCUGGAAGAUCCUGGCCGUCGGAUCAAAAACUAACACUGCUACAAUGAAUAGUUACCGUCGUCUCGUGCCAUCGCGCGUAAUUCCGCUGCCCCACCAAGGGCAUUUCCGUCAUUUCACCAACAGGGGGUAUAAAAAGGAGGCGGCUCCCGUGGCGGAGACCUAGCCGCCGCCGCCUCCUCCCGCACCCGCUCGUCCCUCCUCAUCCACCCAACCCCUAACCCUAGGAGCUCCCCCCGCCGCCGCCAUCUACUUCGCCUAGCCCGCCGGACCGCCGUCGUCCUCACCUGCACAGGCAGGAGGAGCACCCCCACCAUCUCCUCUCCUCCUCCCCUCAUCACGAGCCAGGACCGUCGUCCUCACCUGCACAGGCAGGAGGAGCGCUCCCACCAUCUCCUCUCCUCCUCCCCUCAUCACGAGCCAGGACAAGGAGGGCCACCGUGGCCGAGCAGGUCAGGCGACGCGUCCAGAUCACCAAGGAGCCGCCCGCAAGGUCGGCCAUGGCGCGACCGAGCAGAGCAGGUACUAUGCUUGUCGUGGAUUGCUGCCUCACGUGUACGCAGGGCACAUCUUGGGUGUUUAGGUAGCUGACUUAGCCCCCUAAUUUAUUUUUCUUACUAGGUUUGAUGCGUUUAUGGCUCCCUAAUAAGCAGUUCUCUUUGCUGCAUCAUGUUCUUCUGGUUGUUUGAUUGAUUAGAGAGCCCUGCCACAUUUAUUUACGAGAGGAGGUGCUUGAUAGAUAGGGAUUUAGUAGAAGAAACUGCUAUAUAGGGAUGGCCGUUGUAUGUUUACUAAAGAAAAUUUUGAUGCAGGCCUCGGGCUUUCUUGGGUUAAGUGAAAGAGCUAGAUUAGCCAGCCAGUUCUCUUUGAAUUUGCACAUAAAACCUUCAUCUUUAGUACCUGAGCUCAGACGUCUUGUGAAUCUUUAGUACCUGUUUGUGCUCCUGCGAUGAAUUCCAUCGUUUCUGUUAUUUCAACAGAACAAAAUGGGAUUUUCUCAAUUGGAGCUUUGGAUGAAAUUAUGAAUUUAUAGGCCUGGGAAUUUUACAUCUUCUUAUGUAUUUUUUCUCUUUCUCAUGUUAAGUUAGCAUUUUGGUGUUGUGUGUUUCCAGAUUGUGCUCUCACUAACUUAUUUGGCCCCUGUACUAAAGAUGCAUGGCUUGAUUUUAAAAUUAUGGUUACGAACACAAAGCUAAUUGGUACUCUGUUCCACACUACUGUUCCUUGGACCAUGAUCUUGCAAAAAAGAGGAAGCCAAACACAGGUACAAGUGUUUUCCUUCGCCCAAUCCAAUGGAUUUUUCUUAGGGCCGUUGACUACAUCAUUUAACCCCACAUAAAUGGUUGUGAACCAGAUAAAACUAAUUUCAUUUCUCUUUUUAUCACUAUUCUUAUGUUAUCUGAAAAAGCUGGAGCGCAUAACACUUUUAGUUUAGCCACAGGGUGCUUGAUGCUUCAGCCACAGGAAAAAAUCAAGGCCCUUUUAGUUUAUCAGCAAGCCGCUUUCAUGUAGUUUAUGCUCUUCUUCCCUUUUUCUUAUCAUACAUAAACCAAUUACUCGCUUAUUUUCAUUCCCCUAAUUACUUUGAGAUAUUCCAUACCAUGUUAUCUGAAAACAUUACCGAGUUGCUUUAAUUCAUUUUUGUUCUGCUAUCUUCUUUCAGGUCCCGAUUCAAUAACUUUCUUAUAAGUUUCUCUAUUUUAACCUAUUAGAUUCCAAAUCUGACUUUGGGCGAUUGCUUGAGGGAGUUUCCACUUCUCUUAUUGUGUGUGAUUCUUGCUAUAAUGGCCGAAUUGGUCUAGUUGUGUGCAUACUGCUGAAGCACUUGUUGAGUUUAAAUCAUCUGAAGAAUGGGACAGAAGUGAUGAUAAUAAGAUAACAGUAUUUCUUAAGCCUAUAUUUGGUUUUUCCUUCCUCUUACACUAAAAUGUGUACUCUCAUUUCUUGAGAACAGAACUAGGGCAGUGCACAUAUAUGAUUUAUUUAUUCUUCUUUCAUAUUGGAGAGAGUGGCAGUCCCUUGCCGAUUACACUAAUUUUGUCCUAUUAGAGUGUUCUGUAUAUUCUCUAGCUACUUAAUGAUUUCUUUCUUGGCUAUGCUUAAUUUGGUAUUUGAGGUGCUAACAAAUAGGAGCUGGGACAGAACAAUGUCGUUUUAUUUACUUCCUCCUCCUAUUCUAAUGCUGAUGCUUUGCUUUUGUGAUUGCAGAUGGACUUGCAAUGUUGAGCAGAUCACCAUGUUAAAAGAUGAGCAUUUAGAGUAGUGUGUGCUCGCCAAGGACCUUUUAUGCUCAUGUGUAAUCAUCAAUUCUUUUUUCCUGACAUUUAGCAUGUAGCCAACUUUUACUUGUAUGUACAAUAUAGUACCUUGCUCAGUUAUAUGACUUGCACACAGAAUAUAUUGCAUCUGUAGGUCAUGUGACCUGCCUAUGGAAGAUAUGAGUGUCCUCGGAAAAUAUUAUGAUGUUGGAUCAACUAUGGUUGCCACAUUAUGCGAGUCAACAUUUAGUGAUCUACAAGUUUAGACCAUGGCACUAUGUUCAAUGCUCAGCAAAUCCACCCUUUGCAGUUGGGACGGUGGCGUGCCAGAAGGGCUGUCUUGCGAGUUGACAGGAGAGGGAGUACACCGGCGAGGCUUCUGAGAUGGCUGAGGGAUCUGUUUAGGGUUUGCUGGUUCAUUUCUCCUGGCCGGGGUCUGCUUGUGCGCUUGGCUCCCAGGCCGCGCUGCUCGAAGUUGCUUCGCUGGUUUCCUUGCAGGCACCCAAGCUUUUCUUCGCGCGAUGGCAUCAGGCGGACGGAGGGAGCUCUUCUCCGUCGGUGUGAUGAACAACGACCGUGAUCUCCGUUCCACAUCGUCACCAGCUAGCAAGAUGAAGCGUUCUGUCACGAUUAGGCCGAAGGCUAUGCUUAGCGUCGUUCUUGCUGAAGCUGGUUUACCUGAGGUGAAGUACAAGACCUACGCAUCUUACCGUGGCGGUGUGGCGGCUACUGCUAUCUUCUGGCCAUCACAGUCGCGUUCGUCUACAGCGGCAGAGCAUAUGAGGAUCAAUGGCGACCCAGCUGUGGAUGCCAAUGAGGCCAUGCAAAAUGCCGCUACAUGGUGCUUGGAGCAUCUUCAGGCCACCAUGGGUAUUGAAUUUGACUGCCCUCAAAUGCAGAAAAUUAAGACCGAGAUGAAGUACCUAUCGAGCAGUGUCGACGAGAAGGACAGGAAUAUCAGAGAUCUGAAGGCUAAGGUGGAAAAAAGGAAUAUGUGGGUCAACGGGCUUACCAAGGGCUGGGGUUCACUGGCAGAUGACCUGCUAGGUUCUGCAUAUGAUCAAGCUUUGCUUCCGACUGGUGCUUCGGUAGUUCUACAUUUUUUAUCAUGGCUGAAAAUGCAUUCCACCGUGUAGGCUUACUCUCCUAUGAUGCUUUCUACGCUCUUGUGAUAAGUAAAUGACAGUACUUGCUUCGAUCAUUUUGAUUCUGAUUAGAUCUUUAUUUCCAUUUAACUUCCUGCUA